AGUCCCGGCUGGUUGUUAUAGCAACAUAUGCACGUGUGUGCGUGUCUGCAUGUAAAGCAGACUCAAACCCAGGUUGUCACGGGCAACACAAGUCAGCUCCCAAAGUCGCAUCAAACUUGCUGCUCUGCCUGGUGUCGUCUGAAGGCAGCAGCCAGCUCCAGCAGGGACAGGGAAACAUCCUGAUCUCUCACUGCUGGUGCCGGUUGUUGGCUGAGAGCUCAGCGCCGUCUCGCAGCUGAUUCAGCUCCUUAAGAAGAGGAUGGCUGCAAGGAAGGUCCAAAAAUAAUCUAACCCAUUUGCCUAUGAGUUUUGAGCCUGCUUUGCUGAUUGGCAGACCCUCCAGAGACCACCAGAAGAAGCAGAUGGUCAAGACAUGAGAUCAGAGCUGGAGACAGAGAUGUCAAUCAAUAGGUUGGAGUAGCAGGCGCUGGGAUGUGGAAUGGAACAGGCAGCUACAGCAGCGCUAAGCAGGACAGGGUGCACUGUCCCAGAAGACAAGGCCGCCUGGAGGGAUGGAAGUCUGCAGGAGCAGAGGCAGAGCACCCGUCACCACCCUGCUAACUGGCCAGUGCCGAGGUAACACCACUAAGGCACAUCUCAGUGUACCCCUGCCCUGCUG